rnacentral:piRNA from 1 species
UGGGUAUUUGACAAUUUUUGA